GAUAAACGCUGGCGGCGUGCCUAAUACAUGCAAGUCGAGCGAACGGACGAGAAGCUUGCUUCUCUGAUGUUAGCGGCGGACGGGUGAGUAACACGUGGAUAACCUACCUAUAAGACUGGGAUAACUUCGGGAAACCGGAGCUAAUACCGGAUAAUAUUUUGAACCGCAUGGUUCAAAAGUGAAAGACGGUCUUGCUGUCACUUAUAGAUGGAUCCGCGCUGCAUUAGCUAGUUGGUAAGGUAACGGCUUACCAAGGCAACGAUGCAUAGCCGACCUGAGAGGGUGAUCGGCCACACUGGAACUGAGACACGGUCCAGACUCCUACGGGAGGCAGCAGUAGGGAAUCUUCCGCAAUGGGCGAAAGCCUGACGGAGCAACGCCGCGUGAGUGAUGAAGGUCUUCGGAUCGUAAAACUCUGUUAUUAGGGAAGAACAUAUGUGUAAGUAACUGUGCACAUCUUGACGGUACCUAAUCAGAAAGCCACGGCUAACUACGUGCCAGCAGCCGCGGUAAUACGUAGGUGGCAAGCGUUAUCCGGAAUUAUUGGGCGUAAAGCGCGCGUAGGCGGUUUUUUAAGUCUGAUGUGAAAGCCCACGGCUCAACCGUGGAGGGUCAUUGGAAACUGGAAAACUUGAGUGCAGAAGAGGAAAGUGGAAAUCCAUGUGUAGCGGUGAAAUGCGCAGAGAUAUGGAGGAACACCAGUGGCGAAGGCGACUUUCUGGUCUGUAACUGACGCUGAUGUGCGAAAGCGUGGGGAUCAAACAGGAUUAGAUACCCUGGUAGUCCACGCCGUAAACGAUGAGUGCUAAGUGUUAGGGGGUUUCCGCCCCUUAGUGCUGCAGCUAACGCAUUAAGCACUCCGCCUGGGGAGUACGACCGCAAGGUUGAAACUCAAAGGAAUUGACGGGGACCCGCACAAGCGGUGGAGCAUGUGGUUUAAUUCGAAGCAACGCGAAGAACCUUACCAAAUCUUGACAUCCUUUGACAACUCUAGAGAUAGAGCCUUCCCCUUCGGGGGACAAAGUGACAGGUGGUGCAUGGUUGUCGUCAGCUCGUGUCGUGAGGUGUUGGGUUAAGUCCCGCAACGAGCGCAACCCUUAAGCUUAGUUGCCAUCAUUAAGUUGGGCACUCUAAGUUGACUGCCGGUGACAAACCGGAGGAAGGUGGGGAUGACGUCAAAUCAUCAUGCCCCUUAUGAUUUGGGCUACACACGUGCUACAAUGGACAAUACAAAGGGCAGCGAAACCGCGAGGUCAAGCAAAUCCCAUAAAGUUGUUCUCAGUUCGGAUUGUAGUCUGCAACUCGACUACAUGAAGCUGGAAUCGCUAGUAAUCGUAGAUCAGCAUGCUACGGUGAAUACGUUCCCGGGUCU
rnacentral:rRNA from 1 species